rnacentral:rRNA from 1 species
GGCAGCAUCUAGCCAACCUUGGCUGAUUGCAAAAAGCUAAGUAAGGUUUUGCAUAGUUUGUACUUUGCUGGGGAACGGCCAGGAAACUCUAGGGAUGUUGGUU